rnacentral:rRNA from 1 species
AGAGUUUGAUCCUGGCUCAGGAUGAACGCUGGCGGCGUGCUUAACACAUGCAAGUCGAACGAUGACUUUUGUGCUUGCACAAAAUGAUUAGUGGCGAACGGGUGAGUAACACGUGAGUAACCUGCCCUUAACUUCGGGAUAAGCCUGGGAAACCGGGUCUAAUACCGGAUACGACGGAUUCCCGCAUGGGGGUCCGUGGAAAGCUUGAUGCGGUUUUGGAUGGACUCGCGGCCUAUCAGCUAGUUGGUUGGGGUAAUGGCCCACCAAGGCGACGACGGAUAGCCGGCCUGAGAGGGUGACCGGCCACACUGGGACUGAGACACGGCCCAGACUCCUACGGGAGGCAGCAGUGGGGAAUAUUGCACAAUGGGCGAAAGCCUGAUGCAGCGACGCCGCGUGAGGGACGAAGGCCUUCGGGUUGUAAACCUCUUUCAGCAGGGAAGAAGCGAAAGUGACGGUACCUGCAGAAGAAGCGCCGGCUAACUACGUGCCAGCAGCCGCGGUAAUACGUAGGGCGCAAGCGUUAUCCGGAAUUAUUGGGCGUAAAGAGCUCGUAGGCGGUUUGUCGCGUCUGCUGUGAAAGCCCGGGGCUCAACCCCGGGUCUGCAGUGGGUACGGGCAGACUAGAGUGCAGUAGGGGAGACUGGAAUUCCUGGUGUAGCGGUGAAAUGCGCAGAUAUCAGGAGGAACACCGAUGGCGAAGGCAGGUCUCUGGGCUGUAACUGACGCUGAGGAGCGAAAGCAUGGGGAGCGAACAGGAUUAGAUACCCUGGUAGUCCAUGCCGUAAACGUUGGGCACUAGGUGUGGGGGACAUUCCACGUUUUCCGCGCCGUAGCUAACGCAUUAAGUGCCCCGCCUGGGGAGUACGGCCGCAAGGCUAAAACUCAAAGGAAUUGACGGGGGCCCGCACAAGCGGCGGAGCAUGUGGUUUAAUUCGGAGCAACGCGAAGAACCUUACCAGGUCUUGACAUCCCGCUGACCGGCCUAGAGAUAGGCUUUUCCCUUCGGGGACAGCGGUGACAGGUGGUGCAUGGUUGUCGUCAGCUCGUGUCGUGAGAUGUUGGGUUAAGUCCCGCAACGAGCGCGACCCUUGAUCUUAGUUGCCAGCAUUCAGUUGGGCACUCUAAGGUGACUGCCGGUGAUAAACCGGAGGAAGGUGGGGAUGACGUCAAAUCAUCAUGCCCCUUAUGACCUGGGCUACACACGUGCUACAAUGGACGGUACAGAGGGUCGCAACCCCGCGAGGGUGAGCAAAUCCCAUAAAACCGUUCUCAGUUCGGAUUGUAGGCUGCAACUCGCCUACAUGAAGCCGGAAUCGCUAGUAAUCGUGGAUCAGCAUGCCACGGUGAAUACGUUCCCGGGCCUUGCACACACCGCCCGUCAAG